GGCAGCAGCAUCUCCGGGGCACAGCGCAGUCUCCAUCCUCGGGGGGCUGCAUCUGCCGCACCCCUGCCCUCAGCACAGCGAGAGGGCCCAGCCGGUACCCUCCAACCCCCCCGGCACCUCCAUUCCGGCGGGGAGCCCCCGCCUCGGCGGAGGCUGGAGCCGUGGAUCAAGCAAUGAGGGAGGUCGUAGCCAAAGGAGGGAUCGUCCCAGGUUGGAUCCGGCCGCUUGCCACCGGCCAGGCUCCAUGAGGACACCAGCAUCCCUCCCACCACCUCUCCAGUGGGAAGAUUUGGGGAGGGUUCAUGCAGAAAGCACUUUGGCAGCUGCUUUGCACCCCCGGGUUAAGCAUCCCCACUCCAAGUAAAGGGGAGGUCUUGCCCUCCUGCCCUCACCUCGUGUCCCCCCAUGUCCCCAUGUGUCGUCUCCCCCCCCACACCCCCCCGUCCAUUCCGUGCCGCCGGUGCAGCUGCACCCACGGGCGGUGGCGAGGACACGGUGUCCUCCUGCACUCUGCUCCGGUUGUGCAACACCCGGCUGCACCUCCGGUAAACACCCGGCUCCCACCACGCUGCACCCCUGCAUCGGGCACAAACCGGGCCCUCGGAGCGGGCACGUCCCGGGGAGGGGGGGGGUGCAGGCGGCGAGGCCACGGCAUCACCCGCCUCCAAAAAGCUCCUUUGCUCCCCAAAAUGGGCAUUGGGCAGGUAUCUGGGUACCGGGGAGGGGGGAGGGAAGGAUGGAUUCGGGGUCCGCCGGGGAGCAUCCUGCCUGGGUCAUGUGCCCAAGGCCACCGAUUUACAGGCGGGGCCAUCGAUUUGUGUCGUGACACGAGAAGGAAACGGAGAGAAAACCCAUUUCCUCCGUUCUCCAACGCGCCCCAGAGAGUCACUGAUGUGGCUUUUAGACGUGAAGCCGAGGCGGAGGGACGCGAGGCAGAUUAACGCCGGUUAUUUUUAGCAGAAGACAAGGAUGAAUAAAAAUAUCCCCGAUUUUUAGGUUUA